UACGUAGGCAGCGAGCGUUGUUCGGAGUUACUGGGCGUAAAGAGUGCGUAGGCGGUUUUCUAAGUUUGGUGUGAAAUCUCCCGGCUUAACUGGGAGGGUGCGCCGAAGACUGGAAGGCUUGAGUAUGGGAGAGGUAAGCGGAAUUCCUGGUGUAGCGGUGAAAUGCGUAGAUAUCAGGAGGAACACCUGAGGCGAAGGCGGGCUACUGGGCUGAUACUGACGCUGAUGCGCGAAAGCCAGGGGAGCAAACGGG
rnacentral:rRNA from 1 species